AGGGGCAGCAUGAUUUGUAGCAAUACAGAUUGAUGGCGACCGGCGCACGGGUGCGUAACGCGUAUCCAACUUGCCCUUGUCCCGGGGAUAGCCUCGCGAAAGCGAGAAUAAUACCCGGUGUAGCCACGGUUCCGCAUGGAACUGUGGCGAUAGGUCCGCCGGACAAGGAUAGGGAUGCGUCCCAUUAGGCAGUAGGCGGGGUAACGGCCCACCAAAGCGACGAUGGAUAGGGGUUCUGAGAGGAAGGUCCCCACAUUGGAACUGAGACACGGUCCAAACUCC
rnacentral:rRNA from 1 species